rnacentral:rRNA from 1 species
AAUUACACUCCACCCUAUAUAAUAUCACUAAUAAAAACACUAAGACAUUAAAUCUCUAUUUACAACCAAAUUAAAAGUACUGAAAAGGAACUAAAUAUUAAAUCUAAGUAGUGAAAAAUCACGUACUUUGUGCAUUAUGGUUUUACAAGCUAAUAAUUAACAAUAAUAUCCCGAAUCCUAUGCGAGCUGCUCCUAUAUAGCUAUGAGCUCACUAUUAGUUGUAGCAUCAACUUUAGAAAAUAUGAUAGCAGAGGUUACAUACCAAUCGCGCUAGAAAAUUGCUGGUUUUCAGUAAAAUUUAUUAAUUAAAACAUGUAGCAAUCCUACAGUGUAAGGUCUCAGAGGAUAAGCCCUGUAACCAAGAGCUAAUAAGAUAUCAUCAAUAACCCUUAGGCUUAAAAACAGCCAUCUACAGUACUUUACCGUACUUCACACAUAUAAUAUAUAAACAUACUGCCCCAAUAAACUGACAUUCAAGGAAAACUCUCUAUCUUGAAAUAAUCUGUAAAAAUAAGUAUUAGAAAAUCAAAUAUUUAGAUUCHAUAUGUAAUAAACAUAAAUACACAUAAACACUUAUAAAGGAACUCGGCAAAUACUUAUUUCGACUGUUUAACAAAAACAUUGCCUAUCGUA